UAGAGUUUGAUCCUGGCUCAGAACGAACGUUGGCGGCGUGGAUUAGGCAUGCAAGUCGAGCGAGAAGUCUUCCUUCGGGGAAAUGGACAGCGGCAAACGGCGUAGUAAUGCGUAGGUUACGUGCCCUUAGGACCGGGAUAGCCGCGGGAAACUGCGGGUAAUACCGGAUAAUGUCUUCGGACCAAAUGGUGUGAUUCCGCCUAGGGAGCGGCUUACGUGGUAUUAGCUUGUUGGUGAGGUAACGGCUCACCAAGGCAACGAUGCCUAGGGGGUGUGAGAGCAUGGCCCCCACGACUGGGACUGAGACACUGCCCAGACACCUACGGGA
rnacentral:rRNA from 1 species